GCCAUCGUGAAGCCGGAGGCUGAGCUGAGCAAAGGAGCUAGGGGUGCGGCGCGGUGCCUGCCAACGCCCAGGUGCGGUGGGUAUGGGGAAUGGCGCUGACCCUGGAGACCUCGAUCCCCUGCGCCGCUCUUGCAGCUCAGGCUGCAGAAUUGUGUAACCCGUGACCUCCGGUUCCCCCUCCGCCGCGACUGCACGGCCACCCCGGCCCUGCUACCCGUGCUGGGUAGUUCGCUGACUUGUGCGCCCGCCCACGGAUCUGCUUCUGAGUCCCGCCGCCAGCGCCAGCGAAGCCUCCUUCCUCCAGCGCAGAUCAACAAAAGAGAUUCUUGGGUCCUAGAGACCAAAGAAAGAAUCAGCAGGAAUGCCCAUGGUGAAUGAUGGAUUGCAGAGCCUGGCUGGUAACUGUGAAUGAAGCUGAGGAGAGAAAUAAAGGAGAUAGUCACCAGUCUACACACUAUGGACCUGUCUACACAGACAG